rnacentral:ncRNA from 1 species
UCCAUCAGACACGGGGGCUCAUACGAGCUGAGAGGGGACGAUCCCGACCGUAGAACGUGAUUCGGCUAGUACCGGCGAACGAAGUCUCAGGUCCGCUUGC